GAUGAACGCUAGCGGGAGGCCUAACACAUGCAAGCCGAGCGGUAUUUGUUCUUCGGAACAGAGAGAGCGGCGCACGGGUGCGGAACACGUGUGCAACCUGCCUUUAUCUGGGGGAUAGCCUUUCGAAAGGAAGAUUAAUACCCCAUAAUAUAUUGAGUGGCAUCACUUAAUAUUGAAAACUCCGGUGGAUAGAGAUGGGCACGCGCAAGAUUAGAUAGUUGGUGAGGUAACGGCUCACCAAGUCAAUGAUCUUUAGGGGGCCUGAGAGGGUGAUCCCCCACACUGGUACUGAGACACGGACCAGACUCCUACGGGAGGCAGCAGUGAGGAAUAUUGGACAAUGGGUUAGCGCCUGAUCCAGCCAUCCCGCGUGAAGGACGACGGCCCUAUGGGUUGUAAACUUCUUUUGUAUAGGGAUAAACCUACUCUCGUGAGAGUAGCUGAAGGUACUAUACGAAUAAGCACCGGCUAACUCCGUG
rnacentral:rRNA from 2 species